CAGCAUAAGGCACAGCUGCAUAAUGCACCACAGUUUAAAGACAUCACAGUGUAAAAGUACCAUAGUAUAAACACACCGCAGUAUAAAGGCGCCAUAAUAUAAAGGCACCACAGUAUAAAGGUACCCUAAAAUAGCAAAAACAAAUAAAGUAAUGAAGAGAAAACACAUACAUGUCCAUGAGUAAAGGGAGCAAAAUGCUCACAUCCUAAAGGCUAUAGGACAGGAAAAAGACUGAGGGACCCAUGCAGAGAUACUUCUUUUAAAGGCAUUUGUUUUAUUCCUGUCCUAUUGGCUGUAAG